AGCUCCCUACUGUCAAAAAGUGUUGUCACUUUGUUUGAUUGAUUUUUUAUGGAUUUAUCGUUAGUCAUUAUUUCAGUUUUACUUUUGCGUCGUGAAAAAAGUCGAGAGAAAAAUCCUUGACGUUUCUUUGGUGAUGAAAAAAUGCAUCUGUUCUGAACCUUAACGACUUUCGUCCACAUGACAACUUCGAACUUUGCUAGUUUGUAUAUUCCUGCAGGGCACAUAUUAUAUAAUAUGGUUAUUUGGAAACGCUCUGAAAUUUUCAAAAGCAUAGCGAUGUGAAUUACUGUCCUUUCAUAGAAUGCUGAAUUUAGCAUUGCUUAUACAAGUAUCAUUAGGGAUACUUUGAUGAUUUUUGCCACCAUAUUUAUAAAUAUAAGCGUUACAAACAUAAUAAAAUAAACUUCUACUACCUGCUGGAGCAAUGCCACGGAAAAUUGAACGAAAGUUUCAGGUCAACAGAAUGCCGGAUACUAUGUAUUCUUGUUGAAUCCGAUUUGCGGCAAUUUCGGAUACGUACGAAUUCUCCAAUCACACAAUCCGCAUACAUAUAUGAUGGUCAUGGAAAAAUUAAAACAAAAACUAAAACGAAAUCGUGGUGGAGAGGAAUUUUCGGUUGCAAAUGAUUUUUUGGGGCGAAUGUGCAAGACAUAAGUUUACUAACGAAAUACUUACGUAAGUGUUUACAUACGUAUUAUGUACAUGAAUGUGCACCUACAUAAGGAAAAUUAUUUUGACUCUUAUACACCUACAAUCACACGCACACAUGUAUACAUUCGACAGGUUGUUAUUGUUUCGAUUACCGUGAUUUUCACAGUACAUAUAUUUUAGAAUUUUAAUUUUGAACCAGAACACCUUUUAACAAAAACAAAAUGUAUGCUUUCUUAACGUCAAAAAUAGAGAAAAAUUCUUCUCGGCAUCUGCACUGAGGGUCAUGUGUAUGUAUGUAUGUAAACACUUAUUUCCAGCAAUUAAACAAAUGAACAAAUGCGUAUGCGUGAAUCUGUAUACGGAUCUGCAUAUAUAAGUACAUACAUUAUUUUAAUUUCGUACUAUGGAAUAAGAAAUGAAAUAGUUUGGCAUAUGUAUAGUUUUAUUUACACAUUUCGCUAAAUAUUUAAACUAGAAAUUAUUUAUCGCAAUAAAGUUAUCUAUGGGUACAAGCAUACAUACAUACAGUCGGAUGCGCAUAUGGUAUCUAUGUUAUAUUCAAUUAAAACAAAAACUGAAAUUUAUAUAAUUACAGAGUUUUCAAAUAUCUUGACAUUUUUGCAAAAUAGCCACUUAUGUAUACCAAUUUCAUAUCUAAAUAUAUAUACAGAUCACAUAUAAACCAAAAUGUAUGUUAUAUUAUUCAUAUUUUACAUUACUCGGGCAGUUUCUGUUAUGAAUAAGUUUAAAAAUAGCAUGUAGUCAAAAUCGUUACCAGACUACAUAAAUAGGUAUGACGAAUAUAUAGUACAUAUAUUAACAGUUAUGUGUUAUUUAGGUGGUAUUUUGUACAUGUUUGCACUUAAGUUGAAAGGCAGUUGUUCACUGCUUUAUUUAUGAAUUACUUUCGCUUGAGAGGUGUAAUUUUCCAAUCGAUUGCCUAAAUGAUAGCUUGCUUUAAGGAGUACCUUUAAUGUUACGCAGUGUUAUGGAAUAAACAAAUCGGCUUUUGUGCAUAUGAAAUGUGACAUACAGGUGCUUACACUUUUUAAAUUACUUAGCGAUACAGUCAUAUAAAGUGUAAAAAGACAUAAGAAGACACAUUAAAAAUUAGAUUAGAUAUUAUUAAAACGAUUUCCCAAACGGCGUAAGGCAUACUGCAAGUCAAGAUGUUUCUACCUCAGUCUUGCACAGGCUGGACAAUGAAGGAGAAAGUGCCUAGAUGUUUCCACCUCACUUUCAUCCAUACAACUUUGACAACUAGCAUGAAUGCCUAUUGGACAGUAUCCAGUAAGAACCCCUACGAUUGUGACAAGAUGAACUUUGCAAACGAUAAGUAGGUCAGUAGAUCUCCUGCGUUCUACUCGAGGCCAAAAGGAUCUCGCAGUCGCACAGGCCCAUUGGUCUAGUGCUGGAACGUAAGACGCAAAGGGAGCUCCAACUCGGUCCCAUUCCGAUGUGAGUGAGAUAAGGGUUCCCUUCUGGCUAGACAAUCGGCCUUGCAGUUGCCAGCGCUUCCGCUAUGACCAGGUGCCAAACGAGUCUGAUGACGAGGUAGCUUGAUGCUGUUUCUAGUGAGAACAGACACUCCUAAACUAGUUUUGAGCGCACAGUUAGCCAGCUCAACGCUGGUAUUGCCUCUCUGCUGUCGGAGUGAAUUCUCACCUCCCCAAGAGAGGUUGCACUUCGUGGCAGUACGCCUACCGUAAACUUAAUAGGAUCCACUUCUUCCUAAAACCAGUACAGUGGUCUAAAAGCCUAAAGCUGAUAUUGACGAAGAGCUCCUUACAGAAAACUCCCGCUCCAAUCUUCCCCUCUAGUUUCGACCUAUACAUACAAAAGUUCACUGCGCCUCUUCUCCAGCGGUUCUUCUCCAUCCACAUAGCCCGUAUAUCGGUAUAUGAGCAAGGAAAAGAUUAUGGUACAAAUCAAAAUCAAUUCUGAGAAUUAUAACAACCAAGUUGUUAAACUAAGAAUAAUGUACAUAUGUAAGUAAGUUGAUGACGGCAAAGAAAUACCUUUCAUUUUUAAAAACCAACUUUACUGUAGAUGAGGGCAUUUUAGAUGUAAUCAAUUAGCGGUCUUUAAUAACAUCGGUUGGAAGUACCCUGCAGUAAAGCAUCUAACUAGUCUAAAAUUAAAUAAUUCACAACUAGAAAUUCCAACUACACAGAAAACUAUCAGAUCAUUAUAUUAUUUUAUUUUAUUAAUGAUUUUGCUUCAUAAUUUAACUUGUAUUUUUUGAACUCAUGUGAGAUUGGUAUGUUUUUGAAUGUAAUCUGCCCAUAUAAUAGCACAAGAUAUCAAAUCAUUAAACAUAUCAGUUGCUUUAUGGGAACAUGACAGUCGGCUGACAAGUUAUCGAUAAUACUAAUGGUAGCCCCCCUUUUAAUUAUACACAAAAUGUUGUUUAUGGCUGCCGAUUGCAUUUGCAUCUCAAACUAUUACGAGUUUUCACAGAAAUAUAGAGAUCGGUUAAAUAUUUUGAGUCAAGUUCUUGAAUUUCGAAUUAAGAUAUAUGUAAUUCGCUGCUAAAACAAAAAUGGCUUAAAAGUUACUCACACAUGGUUAUAAUUUCGAUACUUCAACCAUAACCUAGAACCAUAUAACUAAAACUUUCUUUAAAUAUUCAACAUUUUUUCCUUGAAUAAAGCAAAUCUUGGGUUAUUCACACGUACACAACAACACAAGUGUAAACUAGUGUACAUACAUAAAUACAUACAGACGCAUUUGCCAUAACACAAUUCAAAUUAAGAAUAUUUUUAAAAUUAUUUAAAUCCACGCUCCACAAAUACAUACUAUGUACAUAUUCAUUUUUGCAUUAGUAAUAUUUUUAACUAAAGUGGUAAAUAUACUUUCAAGAAGGAUCGUGGGAGGUAUGUUGCUGUGUUAGCCAUUAACUAAGGAUUAACAAUUCUGUCCCAAAGAACUUGCUUCGUUUUCCGUUGCUCUUCGUAGAUUAAAUAUGUACCUAUCAGAACAAUAAUUACAAUUAAAGCCCAAAAGUAUUUCAAAAGGGGGAAGUGAGUUCAGGUAAUUCCAGAUUUUGAACAUUUUCAAAGGCUAGCAAAAUGUCGUAGAAUGUACUGUUUCCGUAAAAUUAAUUUUAUUUACUUCUUGAGAUAUAAUAAUGCCAUCUAUAAGGUAAUACCUGUUUUAUAAGCAAAGCAACAAUAUUCCAUCAGCUGCAUCAGUGACAAUUCAGCAAUGAUUUUUUAUGACAUAAAGCUUAUACAGCAUAAAGAACAUACCUAAAUAUAUAAUAUAGUAUUUGCAUUAUUAGUCUGGCGCUUGUAGUUACUCUCUUAUAAGAGCACAUACUGAUAAUGUACAGAAACAUUUUUGUACAUAUGUCAAUCAGUAUCUGUUAUUGCGACUUUAUUUUUAUGAGCAUCUUAAAAUAUAUACAUAUGUACAUACAUUGUAUUUACAAAUGUUCAUAAAUACAUAAACUAUCACAAACCUAGUUAAACAAAUAUGGGGUUUUAGGUUUAUAUGGGUUUCACGGCUUCAAAAAAAAAAAUGUUUUUACACAGGUCUUCGAGAUAUAAUUUACAAGGUCUUGAACGAAGGAUUUGCUCUAUUACUACUAAUUAAAAAAACAUUUUUGCUGAGAAUGUUUUGAAUACUUCACAAAAUCUUUGUAAAAUAUGUAUCUUUAAAAUAAUAAAAAGUUUGAAUAAAAUAUUUAAUUUUUUAUAUGAAUAUGGGUCGCCUCCAAAUGGCCGUUGGGAUUUAUGAAAGGCUUCUCUCAUGACAUGCCUAUGUAAAUACACUACUAGUUCUACCUUUUCACUGUUUGAUAUUAAUUGAUUAGGAUCCUAACGGGAGUUGAAACGGAAAGAUGAUCACAUUACGCAUUUAACGCUCUUGUCUACGACGACUGUUUGCAGGGAAAUACACACGAGAUCUCAUACGAAUUUAACAUAUUCAUUAGAAAAUGAAAACAUCUAUUAUUAAACAUUCGUAUAUAUAAUAUUAUAAAUCUAUGUACUUGCUUAGAAGUGAUUUUGUUGAGAAUUGCUUUCAUGUUACUGUAAGCAAAGUCAUUAAAUACUCUGAGUAAGUUUAUGAAAUACGAGCACAUAUACAAUAAUAUUGUACCUUCAAUGAAAUGUAUUUUUUAUCUCAUAGAUGUUGUCUAUUAUUUUCGUUUUCAUUAGUAUGGAUUAAAGAAGUACAUAUGUCAUUAUUGAAAUUUGUUAAAAUUGCUGUUUGGCGAUUGUAUUAAUUUCAAUUUAAAAUACUAUACUAUGCUAAUAUUGCCAACACACUUUUUUCCACUUAAGUCGUAGCUGAAUAAUUUUUAAUUGUUCAUUUAAUACUUCACUGCAUUGAAAUUUUGCACAAUAUACAUCACACUAGUGUACAUAUCUGUAUACAAUAUGUGCUUAUAAUAAAUAUGGCAGAUUAUUUUCACUAAUACAUGCGGUAUGUGUACAUAUAUACCGGCUAACAUAUGCAUGUAUAAGAAAUUAUCUCUGAUAAUUUGCGCUACUGGUUUACACUCAUGAAUUCAAUUUAGCUUCGAUUUUGUAGUACAGAAUUAUGGCUAAAGUCGCACACUAUUACACGAUUUCACUUAGAAAAGGUAGAAGAGUAAAUUGUACAAUAUCAAAAUCUAAACAUUAUAUUUUAAUACUACUGUUUCUAAUUUCACUUUCGAAUUGUUUAAUCGCGCUUGUCCACCGAGCACUGAAUCGCGUUUUCAACUGAGCUCGACCCGCAGUAAGCUAGUGCUGAACAGCAAUAUUAUCAAUCUUUUUUACCACUUCCCUUACUCCCGUGCAUACAUAUACUUAUAUUUAUUUGUGGUUACAUACUUGUAUGUACAUAUGUGCUCAUAUAUACCAUACAUAUGUACAUACUUGUAUAUAAUGCUUUUGUAUGU